UACGUAGGGUGCGAGCGUUGUCCGGAAUUAUUGGGCGUAAAGAGCUUGUAGGUGGUUUGUCGCGUCUGCUGUGAAAAUCCGAGGCUCAACCUCGGACUUGCAGUGGGUACGGGCAGACUAGAGUGUGGUAGGGGAGACUGGAAUUCCUGGUGUAGCGGUGGAAUGCGCAGAUAUCAGGAGGAACACCGGUGGCGAAGGCGGAUCUCUGGGCCAUUACUGACGCUGAGGAGCGAAAGCGUGGGGAGCGAACAGG
rnacentral:rRNA from 1 species